AAGGCAGUUGUUGCUAAGAGUUAGCUUCAUGGCUGACUUUUCACUGUUCAGUUCAGUUCAGUUCUGCCUACAUUUAAUACACAGAGUACUUCCUACUAUAAAGAAGGAGUCUUUUUUUAUUCUUUUAUGUUUUUCUACUGCAGACAAGGGAGUUGCAAAGAAAGGAUAAAAACUGUCAUAACAUAUGAUCCCAGGUCAACCAAGAACAAAACUUAUGGAACUUCUUGUGUUUCUGUUUGAGCUCACUACUUCUGAUUCAAGAGGAAAUGCUACUGAAUGAGACAAGGGAACUGAUGACAAGAAACUGAGAAUGCUGAGUGUCAGUGUAGAGGCUGAGAGCGAACAGGAAGUUGUAAAGGGAUGCAUCCAGGACAGAAUCACAAACUCACAGAACUACAGGAAUUGGAAGAGACCUCAAGAGAUCAUCAAGUCCAACUUCCCAGCUAAAGAUGGUACUCUACAAUAGAAUGCACAGGUAGGUGUCUAGAUAGGUCUUAAAUAUCUCCACACAGAAGGAGACUCCACAGCUUCUAUGAGCAACAUUUCCAGUGCUCUGUCACCCUUAUUGUAAAUAAGUUCUUUGAAAUGUUUUUAAGAAACUUCCUAUGUACAAGUUUUUUAUCAUUGCUCCUUUUCCUUUCACUACACACUACUAAGAAGAGCCUGGCCUCAUUCAUUUGCCUCCUACCUCCCUUCAGAUAUUAUAAACAUUAAACAGAUCUCUCCUCAGUCUUCUUUUCUCCAGGCUGAACAGAUCCAGGUU